UUAUGUCUGCAGCAACCUCUGUCAUACCCAGAUGAAUUCCUCARCUGAUAGGUUCCUCUUCUUCCUAAAACUUUACUCAGAUUUCACUGAUGAUGGGAGACACUGUGGAUCAAAGAUAUCACCUCACUUAAACUGCCCUCAAUUUCCUUGUGUUUACAGUAGAUGAUCUACUGCCUUUCCAGUUGCAGGUUCUUUGGUGGUACACCAGCUGGCUGGCGACUGAAACUUCUGCACUUGUGACUUGUGACGCUUCAUGAGACAGAGUUCCCAGAG
rnacentral:lncRNA from 1 species